GACAGAGGGUGCAAACGUUGUUCGGAAUUACUGGGCGUAAAGCGCGUGUAGGCGGCCAUGCAAGUCGGAUGUGAAAGCCCUCGGCUCAACCGGGGAAGUGCACUCGAAACUGCAAGGCUAGAGUCUCGGAGAGGAUCGUGGAAUUCUCGGUGUAGAGGUGAAAUUCGUAGAUAUCGAGAGGAACACCGGUGGCGAAGGCGGCGAUCUGGACGAUGACUGACGCUGAGACGCGAAAAGCGUGGGGAGCGAACAGG
rnacentral:rRNA from 1 species